rnacentral:lncRNA from 1 species
GGGCGGACGAAAUCGGUAGCGAUCUCGGCUGCGGCGCUGCCGCAGCUGCCCGGCCCGCGGGGCGCGCCCUGACCCUUCAUCUUUGGGCAGGCUCGAGGGCGCGCGCACGGUUGGCGUUCUGGGGCCUCAAACUCCUGGGCCUUGACCGGGCAGGCCGCGUCUCCCCGGGUGUGAGUCCACCGGGACCCGGCCGCCGCCUAAGCGCGGGCGCCACAGAAGCGGCGGCGCCCGAAGACGCGCUCCUGGCUCGGCCCGACAGCCUCGCUUGGCCGCCAGUUCUUCUGCAGCCGAAGGCGGUUGUUCUUUUAAAGAAUUAUUGAAGACGAAGGUUUUUUUCUUUUUAUUUUUUUAAUGGCUUUACAGAAUCUUAAAUAGAAUACAGUUUGACAUGACGGCAAAAAAUGUUGGUUUGACUUCCACAAAUGCAGAAGUAAGAGGAUUUAUAGAUCAGAAUCUCAGUCCAACAAAAGGCAACAUUUCAUUUGUUGCAUUUCCAGUUUCCAAUACCAACUCACCUACAAAGAUUUUACCAAAAACCUUAGGACCAAUAAAUGUGAAUGUUGGACCCCAAAUGAUUAUAAGCACACCACAGAGACUAACCAGUUCAGGAAGUGUUCUGAUUGGGAGUCCAUAUACCCCUGCACCAGCAAUGGUUACUCAGACACACAUAGCAGAAGCUACUGGCUGGGUCCCUGGGUAAGAGUAAAACGGGCUAGAAAAUUUAUAGACUCUGAUUUUUCAGAAAGUAAACGAAGCAAAAAAGGAGAUAAAAAUGGGAAAGGCUUGAGACACUUUUCAAUGAAAGUGUGUGAGAAAGUUCAACGAAAAGGUACAACAUCGUACAAUGAAGUCGCUGAUGAGCUGGUGUCAGAGUUCACCAAUUCAAAUAACCAUUUGGCUGCUGAUUCGGCUUAUGAUCAGAAGAACAUUAGGCGAAGAGUUUAUGAUGCUUUAAAUGUGCUAAUGGCAAUGAACAUAAUUUCAAAGG